AGCAUCUUGAGCCCCUGGACUUGGCUAGCCUGCAGAGGGCGCGCUACUCCCUGCUCCGCUUCUACCAGGACCUGCGUGUUCGGGUGUCGGUGCUGCUUCGAAGUGGCGCACAGCGUCCGAAUGGCCAGCUUGCCGUGUUUGCAACUCCGCCAGCGGGAGGCCCGCGCCCAGGAACCAUCAAGGAAUGGGCUCCGGGAGGCUUCCUGCUGUCCGAGAGGAGCUUCGUGGUCGGCGACAACGGAGAGGCCGCCGGCAAUCGGCCCGCUCUGGGCACA